CCUACGGGUGGCUGCAGUGAGGAAUAUUGGUCAAUGGGCGCGAGCCUGAACCAGCCAAGUAGCGUGAAGGAUGACUGCCCUACGGGUUGUAAACUUCUUUUGUAAAGGAAUAAAGUGAGGCACGUGUGCCUCUUUGUAUGUACUUUAUGAAUAAGGAUCGGCUAACUCCGUGCCAGCAGCCGCGGUAAUACGGAGGAUGCGAGCGUUAUCCGGAUUUAUUGGGUUUAAAGGGAGCGUAGGUGGGUUGUUAAGUCAGUUGGGAAAGUUUGGGGCUCAACCGUAAAAUUGCAAUUGAUACUGGCAGUCUUGAGUACGGGUGAGGUAGGCGGAAUUCGUGGUGUAGCGGUGAAAUGCUUAGAUAUCGCGAAGAACUCCGAUUGCGAAGGCAGCUUACUAAA
rnacentral:rRNA from 1 species